rnacentral:rRNA from 1 species
UACGUAGGUGGCAAGCGUUGUCCGGAAUUAUUGGGCGUAAAGCGCGCGCAGGCGGUCUUUUAAGUCUGAUGUGAAAGCCCACGGCUCAACCGUGGAGGGUCAUUGGAAACUGGGAGACUUGAGUGCAGAAGAGAAGAGUGGAAUUCCACGUGUAGCGGUGAAAUGCGUAGAGAUGUGGAGGAACACCAGUGGCGAAGGCGACUCUCUGGGACGGUACUGACGGCUGAGACGCGAAAGCGUGGGAUAGC